rnacentral:rRNA from 1 species
CCUACGGGAGGCAGCAGUAGGGAAUCUUCGGCAAUGGGGGCAACCCUGACCGAGCAACGCCGCGUGAGUGAAGAAGGUUUUCGGAUCGUAAAGCUCUGUUGUAAGUCAAGAACGGGUGUGAGAGUGGAAAGUUCACACUAUGACGGUAGCUUACCAGAAAGGGACGGCUAACUACGUGCCAGCAGCCGCGGUAAUACGUAGGUCCCGAGCGUUGUCCGGAUUUAUUGGGCGUAAAGCGAGCGCAGGCGGUUUGAUAAGUCUGAAGUUAAAGGCUGUGGCUCAACCAUAGUUCGCUUUGGAAACUGUCAAACUUGAGUGCAGAAGGGGAGAGUGGAAUUCCAUGUGUAGCGGUGAAAUGCGUAGAUAUAUGGAGGAACACCGGUGGCGAAAGCGGCUCUCUGGUCUGUAACUGACGCUGAGGCUCGAAAGCGUGGGGAGCCGAACAGGUAUUAGACUACCCGUGGUACGUCCGACGACCGUAACGUAGUAGUAGUGUCGUAGGUUAGGUUAGGUACGUUCCGUUUACCGGGUUACGUUACGUAGUAGUCCGCCGACGACGUAACCGGACGUAAGUUAACGUACCACCGUCCCGUCCCGGUCGGGGUACGGGUACCGGACCCGGACCGAACGGUUACGGUAAACCGUACGAAAGUAGUAAGUUAGUACGGACGUGAGACGUACGACCGACGGACGACGACGGAGGGGAGGAGG